UAUAUUACUUUAGAAUGCACUCAUCUGGACUACAGGAAGUUCAGUUUUUCAACAAUCGUUCGACACUCUGUGGAACAUCAGAACCUGAAAGGCUUCGACUUAUUCUUCUCUCCUUUCUCAGAUAUCAAUGUGAAAAAUUAUAUCUUUUUGUGGGGAUAAAAGAUGGGGGAAUCAUUCCCCUGAUGGGACACCUCCAUACAUUUUAUUCUCCCAUUCAUCUCUCUCAUCGAUACAUUAUCUAAAUUAUGUACAUACUCUC
rnacentral:lncRNA from 1 species